rnacentral:rRNA from 1 species
AUUGAACGCUGGCGGCAGGCCUAACACAUGCAAGUCGAACGAGUGGCGGACGGGUGAGUAAUGUCUGGGAAACUGCCUGAUGGAGGGGGUUAACUCCUGGAAACGGUAGCUAAUACCGCAUAACAUCGGAUGUGCCCAGAUGGGAUUAGCUUGUUGGUGGGGUAACGGCUCACCAAGGCGACGAUCCCUAGCUGUUCUGAGAGGAGGACCAGGGAAACUGGAACUGAGACAAGGUCCAGAAUCCUACGGGAGGCAGCAGGGGGGAAUAGUGCACUAUGGGCGCAAGCCUUAUCCAGCCAUGCCGCGUGUGUGAAGAAGGACUUCGGAUUGUAAAGCACUGUAAGUUGGGAGGCGUUACCAACAGAAUAAGCACCGGCUAAGUGCGUGCCAGCAGCCGCGGUAAUUC